UUGCUUGCUUUGACAGCACAUAUACUAAAAUCAGAAUAAUACAGAGAAGAUUAGCAUGGUCCCUGCACAAGGAUAACACGUGAAUUUGUGAAGCAUUCCAUAUUUUU
rnacentral:snRNA from 1 species